rnacentral:rRNA from 1 species
UACGUAGGGGGCAAGCGUUGUCCGGAAUCAUUGGGCGUAAAGAGCGCGUAGGCGGCCCGAUAAGUCCGCUGUGAAAGUCAAAGGGCUUAACCCUUGAAUGCCGGUGGAAACUGUCGGGCUAGAGUCCGGAAGAGGCGAGUGGAAUUCCUGGUGUAGCGGUGAAAUGCGCAGAUAUCAGGAGGAACACCGAUGGCGAAGGCAGCUCGCUGGGACGGUACUGACGCUGAGGCGCGAAAAGCGUGGGGGAGCAAACAGG